UGACUUACUUGGCCGGGACGUACGGUGAUCCAGAAGGGGGUUUCGGCGGGGCGGGGCUUACCCACUGCACUCGGGAUGUGCAUGUGCGGACGCCUGCAGUUUCCCCAAACGUGGGCAAGUCGACUGCAUCGUUUGUGGUCGUGGGGAACUGUGUUCGCGCUCUCUCCUA